UGUGGACCCAGAUGUAGAACUUUCAGUUCA
rnacentral:piRNA from 1 species